AGUGAACGCUGGCGGUAGGCCUAACACAUGCAAGUCGAACGGCAGCACAGUAAGAGCUUGCUCUUACGGGUGGCGAGUGGCGGACGGGUGAGGAAUACAUCGGAAUCUACUUUUUCGUGGGGGAUAACGUAGGGAAACUUACGCUAAUACCGCAUACGACCUACGGGUGAAAGCAGGGGAUCUUCGGACCUUGCGCGAUUGAAUGAGCCGAUGUCGGAUUAGCUAGUUGGCUGGGUAAAGGCCCACCAAGGCGACGAUCCGUAGCUGGUCUGAGAGGAUGAUCAGCCACACUGGAACUGAGACACGGUCCAGACUCCUACGGGAGGCAGCAGUGGGGAAUAUUGGACAAUGGGCGCAAGCCUGAUCCAGCCAUACCGCGUGGGUGAAGAAGGCCUUCGGGUUGUAAAGCCCUUUUGUUAGGAAAGAAAAGCAGCAGGUUAAUACCCCGCUGUUCUGACGGUACCUAAAGAAUAAGCACCGGCUAACUUCGUG
rnacentral:rRNA from 1 species